UAAAGAAUAUUUCGCAAUGGCCGAAAGGCUGACGAAGCGACACCGCGUGAAGGAUGAAGUUCUUUUGGACGUAAACUUCUUUUCUGAGGGAAUAAUCUUGAAGGUACCUCAGGAAUAAGCACCGGCUAACCACGUGCCAGCAGCCGCGGUAAUACGUGGGGUGCAAACGUUAUCCGGAAUCAUUGGGCGUAAAGCGUGUGUAGGUGGCAUGUUAAGUCUGAGGUAAAAUGUCGACGCUCAACGUCGUCAUCGUCUCGGAAACUGGCAUGCUGGAGGCAUUCAGAGGCAGAUGGAAUUUCGUGUGUAGGGGUAAAAUCCGUAGAUACACGAAGGAACACCAAAAGCGAAGGCAGUCUGCUGGGAAUGUCCUGACACUGAGACACGACAGCGUGGGUAGCAA
rnacentral:rRNA from 1 species